UUGGACAAAGUGAGCUCCAGUUUCUGGAGGAGACAGUGGCCUGCAGUUCAGAUCUAGAGAGGACUGGUGCAUUACCAGAAGUUACUACAGUCCCUGAAAAUGGCAACAGAGCACUAAUCCAAACCAGGAUCCCUGCUACCCCUUUUCCAAGAACCAGCCGAAGUUUUACUCAUCGUGUUGAGACUGUAGUUAUCCAGUGGUUACAGAUGAAUGGAAACAGAGUCAGAGAGGUGUCAAGGAUCAAGAAAAAGUCAUUGUUUCUUUAAUACAAAAUUAAAAAUGUUAACAUUUUAUACUUACCCUCCACUUUUUCACUAACACCAAUUUGUUUCAAACUGUCCAUCCAAAUGUUUAACUUCUAUGUUAUGAUCAUUUCACACUAUAUAUUUAAAUUCAGAAUAUUUAGCAUAUCAAAAUUUAUUGCAAUUUGGUUACAGCAUGAGAAUUAAAACAAAUAUAAUUUAAUAGUUUGACUAAAGUCAUAUUUAGUUGUUUAAAGAAACUUUUAUUCUUGGGAUGUGGAUGUCAUUUGCAUAGCUUCUGUUAAUCAUCCAUCCCUGGCUGCUGUGAGAUGGUGGUAGAGCCUUCCGAGAACCACAGAAGCAGUUUUAUGCUGCUGAUCAAUUGACCAGUAGCUGACUUGUCAACAUUAGUGUGUGACUGGAGUUGCACACAAGUCAGCUUUCCUUCCCUAAAGGAUAUGGGUGAAUUGACUGAAAAUCAAACAACAGAAUGGUUGCUUUAUUGAUAUUUAUUUCCAAAUAUUUAAAAACUGUAUUUGAAUUCUCAGCUACUGUGGUAGCAUUUGAGCUCCUACUUGCUGAGUUGAUAGUACAGUUUCUGUACUGUAGUUCAGUAACAGCCAAUACACUGCUGUAACCCCAUGAUGUUUUGGGGGUUCAUUUAAUUUGUGUCUAUUGUUACAAUUGUAAUGUGGAUAUUGUAUGUGAUAUACUUUAUCAAUGCAGAAUCAUUUUGGGUACAAAGUAAGAAAUAUAACUCAGGAGAAUAUCCAGCACAAUAAAGCUGAGGUGUGAGGCCCUCUCUAAGGAAGGUGACUGUUCAAGGGUUUGAACUUUGCAGUAUGUGAUGUAACUGCAGCCUUAAUGGACCAAAGUACAGUUGCAUUCUUUUAUCAACAUCAACUUUAUUUAGCUACAUCAAAAUAUAGGAACUUCAAGCAGUGAGUACUUGUAGAUACUUCCUAUAUUUCUGGUUUGUACUGAUGAAAAAAAUUCUGUAAUCGUAAUUGCCAUGUAAAGUCACUUGGUGCAAUAGAAAUAAAAUCAGAAGUGGUAAUCUA